rnacentral:sRNA from 1 species
ACAUCCUGUACGACGUCGGGGUCUACGGCUGCCAGGGCUGCUGCAGCUUCAAGUGUCUCAACAGCGGCCUCCUCUUUGCCAGCCGCUACCCCAUCAUGGACGUGGCCUAUCACUGUUACCCCAACAAGUGUAACGACGAUGCCCUGGCCUCUAAGGGAGCUCUGUUUCUCAAGGUGCAGGUGGGAAGCACACCUCAGGACCAAAGAAUCGUCGGGUACAUCGCCUGCACACACCUGCAUGCCCCGCAAGAGGACAGCGCCAUCCGGUGUGGGCAGCUGGACCUGCUUCAGGACUGGCUGGCUGAUUUCCGAAAAUCUACCUCCUCGUCCAGCGCAGCCAACCCCGAGGAGCUGGUGGCAUUUGACGUCGUCUGCGGAGAUUUCAACUUUGAUAACUGCUCCUCUGAUGACAAGCUGGAGCAGCAACACUCCCUGUUCACCCACUACAGGGACCCCUGCCGCCUGGGGCCCGGUGAGGAGAAGCCGUGGGCCAUCGGUGAGCUGGGGCUGGGGGAGGAGGAUGGGAGCUGG